rnacentral:rRNA from 1 species
UACGAAGGGGGCUAGCGUUGUUCGGAAUUACUGGCGUAAAGCGCGCGCAGGCGGUCUUCCAAGUCAGUGGUGAAAGCCCGGAGCUCAACUCCGGAACUGCCAUUGAAACUGUGAGACUUGAGUACGAGAGAGGUGAGUGGAAUUCCCAGUGUAGAGGUGAAAUUCGUAGAUAUUGGGAAGAACACCGGUGGCGAAGGCGGCUCACUGGCUCGUAACUGACGCUCAGGCGCGACAGCGUGGGGAUCAAACAGG